UAGGGAAUCUUCCGCAAUGGACGCAAGCCUGACGGAGCAACGCCGCGUGAGUGAAGAAGGACUUCGGUUCGUAAAACUCUGUUGUUAGAGAAGAACAGCGCAUAGAGUAACUGUUAUGCGUGUGACGGUAUCUAACCAGAAAGCCACGGCUAACUACGUGCCAGCAGCCGCGGUAAUACGUAGGUGGCAAGCGUUGUCCGGAUUUAUUGGGCGUAAAGCGAGCGCAGGCGGUCAAUUAAGUCUGAUGUGAAAGCCCCCGGCUCAACCGGGGAGGGUCAUUGGAAACUGGUUGACUUGAGUGCAGAAGAGGAGAGUGGAAUUCCAUGUGUAGCGGUGAAAUGCGUAGAUAUAUGGAGGAACACCAGUGGCGAAGGCGACUCUCUGGUCUGUAACUGACGCUGAGGCUCGAAAGCGUGGGUAGCAAACAGG
rnacentral:rRNA from 1 species